rnacentral:tRNA from 1 species
UAGAAAGUAGUUUAAUUAGUAAAACCAAGAAAUUUGAAUUC